rnacentral:rRNA from 1 species
GACGAACGCUGGCGGCGUGCCUAAUACAUGCAAGUAGAACGCUGAGGACUGGUGCUUGCACUGGUCUAAGGAGUUGCGAACGGGUGAGUAGCGCGUAGGUAACCUACCUCAUAGCGGGGGAUAACAUUCGGAAACGGAUGCUAAUACCGCAUAUUUCUAAUCGUCUCCUGACGAAUGGAAGAAAGGUGGCUUCGGCUACCGCUUAUGGAUGGACCCGCGGCGUAUUAGCUAGUUGGUGAGGUAAUGGCUCACCAAGGCGAUGAUACGUAGCCGACCUGAGAGGGUGAUCGGCCACACUGGGACUGAGACACGGCCCAG